UGAAUUCACAUUGCCUUGAAGAACAAGU
rnacentral:piRNA from 1 species